rnacentral:lncRNA from 1 species
GGUCCAAGAGAGAUGACUGUUUGUAGAAGGUAUACCGGUGGCUUGGUAUAGCAGACAGACUUGGGAGGCGUCAGGAAGAUUCCUAUCUCGAGUAUGAGUAGGAAUCAAUAAAUGUUGGCUCCCUCUGGGACACUGUAUUAGGUGUCCAAGUGACUUUUCCUUUGUCGGGCUUGUUUAGUUCCCAAGAAAUUUUGCAAAAUUUUUCAGAUUUCCCGUCACAUUAAAUCUUUAGACGCAUACAUGAAGUAUUAAAUAUAGACGAAAAUAAAAACUAAUUGCACAGUUUGGUCGGAAUUGACGAGACGAAUCUUUUGAGUCUAGUUAGUAUAUGAUUGGAUAAUAUUUGUCAAAUACAAACAAAAGUGAUACUAUUCCUAUUUUGCAAAAAAUUUUGGAACUAAACAAGGCCCUAGCUCAGGCCUCUGCGUUAGGAAAAGUAUUAUGACCUUAAGUUUUCUAUGACCAACUGUAAAGAAUGCACUCGUGAUUUCUUGUGGAGAUCUGUAAAUAAUGUUUAAUCACAUCAUAUAAAGAGCGAUGAGGGAUUGCGCGGCACCAAUAACGCCACACUGCUGCAAGCUGAGACUAUGAAACUCUCUCUGUGAUCCUUUUGGUCCAAGGGAGAUGACUUGUUUGUGUAGAGCGCUCCAGUAGUACAGAAAGACUAGCUUGGGAGGCGUCGGGAACACUCAUGUCACAAGUACCGCCCUAAAUGGAUGAACAGGGGGCCCUGUCAGGACAUGGUCGCGAU